rnacentral:rRNA from 1 species
AUUGAACGCUGGCGGCAUGCUUUACACAUGCAAGUCGAACGGUAACAGGCCGCAAGGUGCUGACGAGUGGCGAACGGGUGAGUAAUGCAUCGGAACGUGCCCAGUCGUGGGGGAUAACGCAGCGAAAGUUGCGCUAAUCCCGCAUACGAUCUAUGGAUGAAAGCGGGGGACCGGAAGGCCUCGCGCGAUUGGAGCGGCCGAUGGCAGAUUAGGUAGUUGGUGGGGUAAAGGCUCACCAAGCCGACGAUCUGUAGCUGGUCUGAGAGGACGACCAGCCACACUGGGACUGAGACACGGCCCAGACUCCUACGGGAGGCAGCAGUGGGGAAUUUUGGACAAUGGGCGCAAGCCUGAUCCAGCAAUGCCGCGUGCAGGAAGAAGGCCUUCGGGUUGUAAACUGCUUUUGUACGGAACGAAACGGUCCUGGUUAAUACCCGGGGCUAAUGACGGUACCGUAAGAAUAAGCACCGGCUAACUACGUGCCAGCCGCCGCAGUAA